GUUAAACUCCCACACACAGACCUUCGACCGCAUCUCACGCAUGUACACAGUGUGGCACAGGACUGUGUAGACAAGCUCAUCAGCACAGUCACACUAUCCAUGGAACAAGCCCAGCCUCAGCUGCAGACAGAACCACAGACGGAUGAUACUCAGAACAAUAAAAACACCAAGAAUACCAAUGCAAAUUGUUCCCAUACUGCUGAUUCCAGUGCCUCAGUUGAUUCACAGAAAAACAGAGGCAUUUCAGUAGAGAACACUGAGGGAGAUGUAGCCGCACCCAAAGAUGUCACAGCUCUACUCACCCCACCCCUAGAAGACAACACCACUCACCCUUUCAGUGGCAGACUGGCUCCUCAGUCCCCAAAUCAGACCCCCCCCUCCUCCCCGACCA